rnacentral:rRNA from 1 species
CGCAUCUGUGCAUGCAGCAUAUCAAUAAGCGGAGGAAAAGAAACUAACAAGGAUUCCCCUAGUAACGGCGAGUGAAGCGGGAAGAGCUCAAAUUUGAAGUCUUAAAGGGUUUCCCUUUACGAAUUGUAGUUUAAAGAAGUGUUUUCUGUUGAGGUUUUGGUAAAAGUUCUUUGGAAUAGGACAUCAUAGAGGGUGAGAAUCCCGUAUUUGACCUUUACUUUCAACUUUGUGAUACACUUUCAAAGAGUCGGAUUGUUUGGGAAUGCAGUCCAAAAUGGGUGGUAAAUUUCAUCUAAAGCUAAAUAUUGGCGAGAGACCGAUAGCGAACAAGUACCGUGAGGGAAAGAUGAAAAGAACUUUGAAAAGAGAGUUAAACAGUACGUGAAAUUGUCAAAAGGGAAGCGUUUGACACCAGUGUUGUUUUUCUGAAAAUCAAUUAAAGAACUGUUUAUGCUAAGCUGUUUAGACUUUAUCAGCUAACUGUUUAGUUUUGAGCUUUUCUUUAAUGCACUUUUCAGUUAACAAGUCAACAUCAAUUUCUUUUGCUGUAAAAAAGCUUGAGGAAGGUGGCUUGAGAUUCGUCUUAAGUGUUUAUAGCCUCUUGCCUAUGCAGUCGGAGAGAUUGAGGUCUGCAGCGUAGAUCCUUCGGGGCUAAAUGCAUUUGUGCUAAGUUAUAGCAUUUUAUAGACAACUUGUUGACUAUGAUUUGUCUUGUAGCUUACUCGCUUAUGUUAUUUUACCUACGCUUAGGAUGUUGAACGCGCACAGAGUCUC